rnacentral:tRNA from 1 species
GCGCUUAUAGCUCAGCUGGUAGAGCAGCUCCCUUUUAAGGAGACGGUCGCAGGUUCGAAUCCUGCUAAGCGCA